CCCUACGGGGCGCAGCAGUGAGGAAUAUUGGUCAAUGGACGAGAGUCUGAACCAGCCAAGUAGCGUGAAGGAUGGCUGCCCUAUGGGUUGUAAACUUCUUUUAUAUGGGAAUAAAAUGUUCCACGUGUGGGAUUUUGUAUGUACCAUAUGAAUAAGGAUCGGCUAACUCCGUGCCAGCAGCCGCGGUAAUACGGAGGAUCCGAGCGUUAUCCGGAUUUAUUGGGUUUAAAGGGAGCGUAGGCGGGCCGUUAAGUCAGUUGUGAAAGUUCGGGGCUCAACCCCGGAAUUGCAGUUGAAACUGCCGG
rnacentral:rRNA from 1 species